AAGCUGAAGGCAUAAAAGGCAGAGACGGGGAGGCACGAGGCUCUCUCCUCUCCCAGCUGGUGCCUGUGGCGUUGCAAGCAGUAUUAUCUCAAUACAGUGUGUUAAGUGUGAAUAACGAAUUAAAGAGGAAAGGAAAUCAACAUGGCCCCCGCACAGCGACACACCUGCUUCACGUACAGUGCCAGUCAGCUCGCCACAGUCUCUGAAGAUGACACUUGUCAUCAGGUUAAGAUGGACGUAAGCGACUUCGUAAAUAGAGGCGUGAGAGUUGAUGUGGUAGAUGGUAACGAGUUAGUGGUGGAAGUGAGCAACGAGGACGAGGUAAACUCCUCGGCUUUCCACCACAACUGGAGACGUCGCUUCUCCUUCCCUGGCCUUCAAAAGAUAGAGAGCAUGACGUCUACUAUGUCUCCUGAUGGGAUCCUCACUAUCACCGUACCCAAGACGUUUGCGUCGCUGUGACGUGAACACAACCGUGCUGUGAUGACCAGCGUAAAUGAAUACACCAGCAAGGUAACAAAAGUCCACUAAGGUGAAGGCAAGAAUGAAGGCAUCUUGGAGAGCAAGACAAAGACUAAACCCCAGCUGAAGUUUAUGUAGUGUUUAAAAAUCCAACAAAGCCUUAAAUCAUCGUUUUCAAUCAACGUGAUGGACGUGGACGCCGUCACCUUUGUCAGCUGGCGUCCUCUAUAUCAAUGCUCCUUACAGGUGAUCGGACGCUAACCUGUAAGCAAGUCGAUUGACUUUGAUGAUAUGGGAGAGAACAAUAUAACUUCAUACACUCGAAAGUAAUAUUGGAGAGUGUUUUGUAUUCCAGGAGAGGACACAAUAUCAUCAGGAAACAGACGUGGUGCAUACCAACUGCAAAAGCAAUUGGAGCUAUCCUCUCUUGUAUUAAACCGAUACCUCUCGGUUCCCAGGUUCUCCAUUUCUCCUACUUGUCUAGCACUGUCUCGUAAUAAUCAUUGCAGAAGUCAAGAAUAAAGUUCUGUGAAGACAAGUGUGAUGGACACACCUCACUCCACCAUUCCCUCAUCCCGUCAGCAUCUGGUUUUCUUCAACAUCUUCCUGAAGAAAUCUUUGCUGGAUGUAAAAGAAAAACCAAUCCAGUGAGUUGGCAGACCAGUGGUUUGGUAUUAGUGUGCGUGGGUAAGUCUGAAUUUCCACUCGUGCGCAGUGUCGUACUGCGCAGCUCAGACAUAACCGAACCUUGUGGUACAAUGUUAUAUAUAUAAAAAUUAUCAAUAUAUAAAAAGUAUCAUAAGAUAUAAUGGGACCCUGAAACAUAUACGCUAAUACGAAAUUUCUAAAAUAAACAAUAAACAUACAACAAUGA